CGGGUUCGGUUUGCUAAAUGUGUUGGCUAAAAUGGAGAAAAAGUUCAAGGCUCCGUGGAUGCAAAAGCAGUGGAAUAAUCUGGUACGUGGCCCAAAGUGUUCUGCUGACAAACCUCACUUUCAGCAACUCAACUCUUCACGUCUGGCAAGUGUCCUACUACUAGCGAAGCAGGUGCAGAUGUUAACGAAGAUAACGCAGCUAGCUAAGUGCAGGUAGCUGUGGCCAAUGUGACAAAUGAAGACAAACGUAUUCGGACGUCGUGGACGUUUUGGAUAUUGGACAUUUUGACCUUGGAUAUUUCAUGUAGGCUACAGUGGAUGUCAUUUUUGCUGGACUGGACAAACUGACAGCUCCACGGUGAAAACAUCAUUGCUCACCAGACCCGAUGCAGGAGGCCCAGGGUGGCAGGCGGCAGGGUGCCGUACUGCUGUAGAAAGUGCUGACGUCCUGUGGGGCCAAAAGCUCGGAAAAAACAGUCCCUUGGAGACAGUCCGGCUUGCAGCGCAGCAGGGAUGAGCCUUGGGGUGAUACAUACACAACUUUCCCUGACAAGAAAGAUACGGCCAUCGAAAAAGUGUCCUGCGGAAAAGUAAAAACAGAAGAGCAUCAUGCCAGAAUCCUUGCCGUUAGACGAGCUGUGAGAGCUGCGUGUAGACUGGCGUCCAUGUGACCCGCUCUCUCUCUCCAUCCCGCCCUCACUUUCCCUCUCGCCAGAGUCGUUCCCGCUGGAGACUCCAUCC